rnacentral:rRNA from 1 species
UCAGUCGACUCCUACGGGAGGCAGCAGUGGGGAAUAUUGCACAAUGGGCGCAAGCCUGAUGCAGCAACGCCGCGUGAACGAAGAAGGCUUUCGGGUCGUAAAGUUCUUUCUUAGGGAAGAAAGAUGACGGUACCUAAGGAAUAAAGCACCGGCUAAAUACGUGCCAGCAGCCGCGGUAAUACGUAUGGUGCAAGCGUUAUCCGGAAUCACUGGGCGUAAAGGGUACGUAGGCGGUGAUGCAAGUCAGAAGUGAAAGGCUACGGCUCAACCGUAGUAAGCUUUUGAAACUGCAUGACUAGAGUUCAGGAGAGGUAAGUGGAAUUCCUAGUGUAGAGGUGAAAUUCGUAGAUAUUAGGAGGAACACCAGUGGCGAAGGCGACUUACUGGACUGAUACUGACGCUGAGGUACGAAAGCGUGGGGAGCGAACAGGAUUAGAUACCCUGGUAG